GUCCACGCUGUAAACGAUGGAUACUAGGUGCUGGGAGCUUGCUCUCGGUGCCGUAGCUAACGCGUUAAGUAUCCCGCCUGGGGAGUACGGUCGCAAGGCUGAAACUCAAAGAAAUUGACUGGGGCCCCGCACAAGCGGUGGAGUAUGUGGUUUAAUUCGAUGCAACGCGAAGAACCUUACCUAGGCUUGACAUCCAGGGAAUCUUCCAGAAAGGGAAGAGUGUCCUUCGUGAAACCCUGAGACAGGUGCUGCAUGGCUGUCGU
rnacentral:rRNA from 1 species